AUGACGACGUCGCCGGCGACACACGACGGCGCCGCCACCGGACUCAGCGAGCCACUCCUCCCGAACCGCAACGGCGUCCACGCAGGAGCACUGGUUGUCACGCCGGUCGUGGCCAAUGGUCACGGCGGCGGCGACAAGCUUAAGGGCGACCUGAAAGCCAAGGACAAGUACUGGAAAGACGUCGACCAACCGGACGACGUGGCGGCAGCGCCAGACCUGGAGAAUGGCGGCGGCCGGCCGCUGCUGUUCUCGAACAGGAGAGUCAAGAAUAUCAUCCUGUACCCGUACAGGGUAUUGAUCCUGAUACGAGUAAUCGCCGUCAUCUUAUUUGUCGGAUGGCGCAUCAAGCAUAAUAAUUCUGAUGUCAUGUGGUUUUGGGUGAUGUCCGUCGUCGCAGACGUGUGGUUUAGCUUAUCAUGGCUAAGCUACCAGCUCCCAAAGUAUAAUCCCAUUAAAAUGAUACCCGACCUUGCUACACUGAGAAAGCAAUUUGACACUCCAGGCAGGAGCUCCCAACUGCCAGGCAUCGACGUCAUUGUUACCACUGCCAGUGCUACUGAUGAGCCCAUAUUGUACACCAUGAACGGUGUUCUCUCUAUCCUUGCAGCCGACUAUCAUAUUGGCAGGUGCAACUGCUACCUAUCAGAUGAUAGUGGCUCAUUGGUCCUCUAUGAGGCAUUGGUUGAAACUGCAAAGUUUGCUGCUUUGUGGGUUCCGUUCUGUAGAAAGCAUCAGAUUGAGCCAAGAGCACCAGAAAGCUAUUUUGAACUAGAGGGCACGUUGUGCGGAGGGGCCUCACAUAAGGAGUUCAUUCAGGAUUAUAAGCAUGUACGCACGCAAUAUGAUGAGUUCAAGAAGCAUUUAGAUAUGCUUCCUAACACCAUCCGCCAAAGGUCAGACAUUUACAGUAGAACAGGAACAAAGGAUGAAGAUGCAACAGUGACUUGGAUGGCUGACGGAACACAAUGGCCAGGCACAUGGCUUGACCCAACAGAAAAACAUAGGCCUGGCCACCAUGCAGGAAUUGUUAAGAUUGUGCAGAGCCAUCCAGAACAUGUGGUUCCACUAGGCGUACAAGAGAGCAAUGACAACCCACUCAACUUUGACGACGUUGAUAUGCGCCUGCCGAUGCUGGUGUAUGUGGCUCGUGAAAAGAGCCCAGGUGUCGAGCACAACAAAAAGGCAGGCGCUUUGAAUGCAGAGCUACGUAUCUCAGCUCUACUCUCUAAUGCACCUUUCUUCAUCAACUUUGAUUGCGACCAUUACAUCAACAAUUCAGAAGCCCUGCGUGCAGCUAUUUGCUUCAUGCUAGACCCACGGGAAGGGGAUAAUACUGGAUUUGUUCAGUUCCCGCAAAGAUUUGAUAAUGUUGACCCAACAGACCGAUAUGGAAACCAUAAUCGAGUCUUUUUUGAUGGCGCCAUGUAUGGCCUCAAUGGUCAACAAGGGCCUACUUACCUUGGCACAGGUUGCAUGUUUCGUCGCCUUGCACUCUAUGGUAUCGAUCCACCUUGCUGGAGAGACGAGGACAUCAUAGUCGACAGUAACAGGUUUGGUAACUCAUUACUCUUCCUGAACUCAGUUUUAGCAGCCAUAAAGCAAGAAGAAGGUGUCACACUACAACCACCACUGGAUGAUUCAUUUCUUGAAGAGGUGACAAAAGUAGUGUCAUCUUCCUAUGAUGAUUCGACAGAUUGGGGUAGGGGCAUUGGCUACAUAUACAAUAUGGCAACAGAAGACAUAGUAACAGGAUUUCGCAUCCAUGGGCAAGGUUGGCGCUCCAUGUAUGCUACCAUGGAACGUGAAGCAUUCCGUGGCACUGCACCCAUCAAUCUAACAGAGCGCCUCCGACAAAUAGUCCGAUGGUCUGGUGGUUCCCUAGAGAUGUUCUUCUCACACAUUAGCCCUCUGUUUGCUGGUCGUCGACUCAGCUUGGUGCAGCGACUCUCCUACAUCAAUUUCACUAUCUACCCAUUGACAUCACUCUUUAUCCUAAUGUACGCCUUUUGUCCAGUGAUGUGGCUUCUUCCAACAGAAAUACUUGUACAGAGACCAUAUACUAGGUACAUUGUGUACCUUAUCAUCGUCAUUGCGAUGAUCCAUGUGAUUGGCAUGUUUGAGAUAAUGUGGGCAGGAAUCACAUGGUUGGAUUGGUGGCGCAACGAGCAAUUUUUCAUGAUUGGCUCAGUAACUGCAUAUCCAACAGCAGUGUUGCACAUGGUGGUGAAUCUCCUUACAAAAAAAGGUAUACACUUCAGAGUCACCACAAAGCAACCAGUUGCUGAUACAGAUGACAAGUAUGCUGAGAUGUAUGAAGUGCAUUGGGUGCCCAUGAUGGUACCGGCGGUUGUGAUAUUGUUUUCCAACAUCUUGGCUAUUGGUGUAGCAAUUGGUAAAUCAGUCUUAUACAUGGGGACAUGGUCUGCAGCGCAGAGAAGGCAUGGUGCACUGGGUCUGCUAUUCAACCUGUGGAUUAUGGUGCUCCUUUACCCAUUUGCAUUGGCGAUUAUUGGAAGAUGGGCCAAGAGAACUGGAAUCCUCUUCAUCUUACUACCCAUUGCUUUUUUGUCCACCGCAUUGAUGUACAUUGGCAUCCAUACAUUCCUUUUACAUUUCUUUCCAUCCAUGUUGAUAUAG
rnacentral:rRNA from 1 species